GCUCUCGAUACGUAAUUAUAACUUGGCUGAAGUAAAGAGUCGUAGGCUACAUGACAUGAUUAGAAUAUAGCGCGUUCAUUCAUUUUUCCGGAUAAUGACGUUUACUAUUUCGCAAGUGAGCGCGUUUAUAGUACGACCAAGUACCGAUGACAGCUUUCAUUAAAUAAACAGUUCUAAAAUUAAUGCUACGUCAUUGAGUUGUAUGAUAAUUUACCCAUCGAGAAAGUUAACUUGCAGGUACAGGCUGCUAAUACCUACGGGAUAAAGGCUAUUUCAAAAUUAAAUAUUUUAUUGAUUGAAAGAAGUAGAUAAGAGAACAAGGAACUUCCUGAGUCAAGACUUGAGUUGGAUGGAUAUCUACGAGAGAGAGAAUUUCUUCUUCAGAGGUUUUCCUUUAAUGAGGAUCUUUGUAAACAAGCUCAUUUGUAACUAUAGGUGCCGACCACAUAUCUUGUAAACCAGAGAAUUAGUAAACUUGUGUAAACCACUGAUCUCUAUACUGUGUUUAUAACUUAUUUUGGAACAAUUUCGGUGUUAAUAUGUAAAUAAGAAAUGUCCUUGGAAAAAUAUUUGUGUAUUUGGUUGUGAUUUCUUUUUAUACUUGCCAUUUGGUUUAAUUUAUUUAUGUCAAAAAUAAACGUUUGAAUUUAAAA